rnacentral:rRNA from 1 species
UACGGAGGAUCCGAGCGUUAUCCGGAUUUAUUGGGUUUAAAGGGUGCGUAGGCGGACUAGUAAGUCAGUGGUGAAAUCCUGCAGCUUAACUGUAGAAUUGCCGUUGAUACUGUUAGUCUUGAGUACAUUUGAGGUAGGCGGAAUGUGGUGUGUAGCGGUGAAAUGCAUAGAUAUACCACAGAACACCGAUUGCGAAGGCAGCUUACUAAACUGUAACUGACGCUGAGGCACGAAAGCGUGGGUAUCAAACAGGAUUAGAUACCCUGGUAGUCCACGCUGUAAACGAUGAUUACUGGUUGUUUGCGAUACACAGCAAGUGACUGAGCGAAAGCAUUAAGUAAUCCACCUGGGGAGUACGUCGGCAACGAUGAA